GCAUAAUUGAAAUGAACUAAAUACUUUUCGACCAUCAUAUUCCGAUGACCAGCAAACAUUUUUUUUUUUCCCCAUGAAUCGUUUAAACAGUUUUAUUUUUUGUUUUAUUAUUGAAAAUUACGAAAAUAGGUACAGUUUUAAAAUUCUUUUUUUUUUUCCAUUAUAUCGUACCUAUACGAAAUCGAAAUAUUUUGAAAAUACCAAAUAGUUACCUACGUACAUACAGAGAAGGCGAUCGCCCCAUGUAAUCUUACAUUGGUGACCAAAAUAGCGUAGGUACUGGCCGAAAAGUGAAAGGUUCGUUUUGGCAAAAAAAAGAGUUCCGCCCUCGAAAUCGCGUUUACUCGAAUACAAAAAGGGCAAUAGAGCAAAUCGCGAUUCCCUGGUUUGAAAACCGCCGGUGUAAAAUAGCAUAUUGUAUA